rnacentral:rRNA from 1 species
CACGUAGGGGGCAAGCGUUGUCCGGAUUUAUUGGGCGUAAAGAGCUCGUAGGUGGUUCGGUAAGUCGGGUGUGAAACCUCCAGGCUCAACCUGGAGACGCCACCCGAUACUGCUGUGACUGGAGUCCGGUAGGGGAGCGUGGAAUUCCUGGUGUAGCGGUGAAAUGCGCAGAUAUCAGGAGGAACACCAGCGGCGAAGGCGGCGCUCUGGGCCGGUACUGACGCUGAGACGCGAAAGCGUGGGGAGCAAACAGG